rnacentral:antisense_RNA from 1 species
UUCAGUACGACAUUGCUCACAUUGCUUCCAGUAUUUCUUGCCCGCCUCUGCGCGGGCUUUUUUUU